CAGGGAUUGAACUCCAGCCCCCUGCCUUGGGAGCGCAGAAUGUUAGCCACUGGAUCACCAGGGAAGUCCCUUUUUUCUGCUAUAAUAAUCUGUAUCUUUUAAUAUAGGAUAUAGUUUAAUCACUUACAUUUACUAUUUUUUAUCUUUCCCUCCCUGCUAGGAUGUAAGCCCCCUGAGGGCAGGGAGUUAUGCUUUACUCACCAGGAUAACUCAGCCCAUAAAGCAGUGCCUAGCGCAUAGUAUGUGCUCAAUCGAUAUUUGCCGAGUUAAGCAGUUGAAUGAAUAAAUGAAUGGUUUUCUUUAUGCCUGUGAACCUUUAGGCUAAAUCCAGAAAGAUAGUUUUGUUUUGCUAGAAACUUUGAAGUUGUACCUCAAGAUCUUAUCUCUCUUUCUUCCACAUAAUAGAAUUUUCAGCUGGGAUGAAAAUUUUCACCAAGAAAAAAAAAGAGACUACAUUUCCAAGCCUCCUUUCUAAAGUUUGCGUGUCUGUGUGCUUGGUUGCUCAGCUGUGUCCGAUUCUUUACGAGCCCAUGGACUGUAGCCCGCCAGACUCCUCUGUCUGUGGAAUUUUACAGACCAAGAAUACAGGAGUGGGGAUCGAACCUACACCUCCUGCAUUGGCAGGCAGAGUCUUUACCACUGUGCCACCUGGGAAGGCCCCCAUUUCUAGUUUAGCUGAGGUCCUGUGACUGCAUUCUGACCUGUAACAGGAUGUGUCAGGCAAGUGACUUUGCUGCCCUCUGUCCCUGUCCCUUCCUCAGUCUUGUUCUCUGGAACUUGGCUGCUACCAUCUUGGGCCAUGAGGUCGGUUGAAUCUGCAAAGCAGAAAAGAGAGAAGCAGCUUGGGUCCCAUGAGUUCACAGCAGCCCUAGACCACCUACCUAGCUUUCAGUGGAAAGAAAAUAAACUUCUAUCUUGUUAAAGACACUUAUUUUUUUUUAGGGCUUUCAGUAUCCCUCUCAGCUGCAAGGAUAUAAUACACUACUCUUCAUUCGGAAUAAGAAUUAAGUUAGGCUCCUGUUUAACUUCAACGUGCAAUUGGCAAGCUUUUCCCAAACACCCCCUCCAGCAGAGCAGUCCCCACUGGUUGCUGUCUGUUACUGAGCCUCCAGUUUCUAACAUUUCUGGAAUCUGAGUCAUGUGUACUCCCUGUUAUUACACAUAAUAUGUUGUUAUGAUUUUAAUCAAGGAAACAUUUUUUCACUUGACAUAUUAGUCAUGUUGCUUCUGGAUGGUCAGAAACAGCCAAGAAUGCUAGCUAGGACUGCAUCAUUUUUGUCUGUCCUUUCCUCUGCAGACUGGUUUAAAAUCAGAUCAGCUAGAUCAAGGCAGAUAGCGGGUCUCGCUUUCAUUAGUUUCUGCAUUUCAUUUUUCAAAUGGAAUCAGUUUCCAAGACGGAGGAAGGAAAUAAAUACUGUUUGCUGGGCUUUGCUACUGAAGUGAUGUAAUUUACAUAAGAGCAAAAUUACAACCUAGAAUCCUGAGUAGCAAUUAUAAUGUUAAAAGAACAAGACAAAAUUUUACUCUGAAACCAAGAGCAAAAAUAAAGAGCAGGAAAUGUUGGUAAACUUCACGCAAAAUUUGAAUAUGAAUUUAAUUUCAUUUGCCUAGGAGAGGAAAACAAAACAAAACAGGCACUGUUUGGCCCUAAAAUUGAACUAGAGGAGAACUCCCACAGACAAUGAAUUCAAUACUAAAAGCCCUAAAGCAGAGACUACAGAUGGAAGGGACCCCAAAGCUUAGAAGAAUGAGGUUGCAAGUUAACUUUCUAAGCCUAAUGAUAGAUAUGAUCCUCCCCUACACAAACGAGAAAGCUAAUUAGAAAUUCUCAUUUCUUUAUUAAAGACAAUCCUAGUUUUGUUCUCUGGGACACACUCAGUGAGAUUUACAACGCUGUCAUUUGUUGUAAUGCCCACAAACCACGCUUUAAUUGUAGGUAAGUUAUCAGUAUGGAAGCAAAUUUUGGUCCUGAAGACGGUGAACUUGCCCUUCACUCAGGAUUUAGUCACUGAAGCAAGUUAAAUGCCCAUCUUCGUGGAAUACGGCUUCCCGGGUGGCUCAGAGGUAAAGAAUCGACCCCUCGAUGCAGGGGAUGCAGGUUCAAUCCCUGAGUCAGGAAGAUCUCCUGGAGGAGUAAAUGGUAACCCACUCCAGUAUUCUUGCCAGGAAUAUUCCAUGGACAGAGGAGCCUAGUGGGCUACAGUCCAUGAGGUCACAAGGAGUCAGACACGACUGAACGACUGAGGACGUACACACGCAUGCACUGUGGGAUAUACUUUGGGAAACUCUGGCAAGGUCAGCUUCCCCAAAGUAAGGAGUGGGCUCAAGGGCACAGUCUGGUGGGACAUGCGCGUGCCAUUCAAUAAUACCAAAGCGUGCACCUCCCAUCUGUCUGAUGACAUUAAGGAGAAAGCCUCUGUUUGGUGCUAAUAGAUCCUUAGUGCCUUUCCACACUCACUGAUUUCCUGUUUAACAAAGAGACAGCAGGGCUUAGGCAAUAAGGCUUUAGUAGAUGAGCAUGCCUAACUAAAAUUUCAUUUUUUAAAAUUCACUUGCUCCGUUACCUUCUAUUACGAUAACUGAUACUGAGUUUUCCAUUCAUGACAGUGAUGGAUAAAAUCUCCUUUUAAAAUAGACACAAAGAAGUGAAAAAACGAAGCAUGAGUUGGACUAUUUUGUGUAUUAAGUAAACUAUUGAGUACACAGAUUUGGCAAGAAUUGGAUGGUGCUGCCAGAAUGAUGAACGCUGGGAAACUGGACGGGAGGGCCUUUCUCUCCCUUUGUCUUCUGCAUUCUUUCCUUUUAUUUACCUUUUUUUUAUUUGGCUGGGUGGGUCUUGGCCGCAGUGGCAUGCGGGAUCUCUCAUUGUGGAACACGGGCUCCAGAGCACGCAGGCUCAGUAGCCACAGCAUGUGGGAUCUUAGUUCCCCGACCAGGGAUUGAACCCUCGUCCCCUGCCUUCCAAGGUGGAUUUUUUACCCUCUGGACCACCAGGGAAGUCCCAUCCUUUUCAUAUCCUUUAGGAGGAAACUGCAUGAUCCAUGCUUGACAUCCUGCCAUCUAUCUUGAAUGACAAAAAAAGGGAAGAGUGGUUUUUCCAUUUUUAAAUAACUGGAAAAAAUAUUUUAAGACCCAUGAAAGUCAUAUGAAAUGUAAUCUUCAGAGUCCAUAAAUGAAUGUUUAUGGGCACAUAGCCACAUCUGUUGUUCAUGCAUGACAGUGGCUUCCUCAACAUCAGGGCAGAAUUGAGGCACAGACAGUGAAGAAUAAGACAUCCAACUAUUGGCAAAGCUGGGCUUUGCACACCUGUUGGAGUUCACCCAAGGAGAAGGAAAUGACCUGCUUGGGUGUAUACGACUGUGAGUGUCUUAUUUGAAAUGUUUUUUUGUUUGUUUGUUUUUGGCCAUGCUGAACCCAUGUGGAAUUGUAUUUUCUUGACCAGGGAUUGAACCCACACCCUUGCAUGGGGGGCAGAGAGUCUUAACCACUGGACCGCCAGGAAAGUUCCUGAGAGUCUUGUUGUUGGUUUUUUAAGGCUUUGUGCUUUGCAGAAUGCUUUUCCCAUUUACGAGUCCGUUUAUCCACAGCUCCAUCCAAUGAUCGAGGUAAACCGUGUUGGCUAUGCUGCCUGGCUUUCAGGAAGGGAGUGGCCAGCAUGAGCCACGCUGGGCUGCUGAGUGAAUGAAAUGAUACAUUAAGUAUUUUAUUUUUGUGCUGUUUAUUUCACUUGUGAAUAUAGUCCGUGGUCAUAGAAGAAAAUGAGAAAAAUAUAGAAAAGUAAAAUGGAAAAAAAUCACCUGAAAUCCUACCACUCAGCAGUAGCAGCUAAUAUCUUAAUACACAUGCAUUUAAGUGUUUCUUUAAGCUUCAAUCUGUGAUGACGCAGCAGAGUCAUCAGAAAAUGGUGAACACAGAGGAACAUGAAUCUUUUUUACCUUGAGCUCCUAGAGUGUGUAAGCUCAACUCAAGAUGCCUGUGGAGAAACACAAAAGGACAGAUUCUUUUAUGGUUUAGUUCAGCUAGAUGCUAAGGUCUUUAAUCAUGUGCUGAUAAACCUACCUAGUUUUAAUUUUAACAUCACCUGGUUAGUGAAACAUACGCUCGCAUGGAAAGAAAACAUUAUGUUCCCCGGCAUUAAUUAGUCAGACGUCCCUCUCCUGACCUGUUUCUUUAGGUUGCACUUCUAUUUGCAUAAUUAAAAGCUUACUUAUAAGCUGGGAAAACAGGUUUGAUUUAGUUUAGAAAUGUGACAACUGGUCACUUAGAAAACAUUCCUCUUGCUUUCAAUAGGGAGUAAUACUUGCCAAACUAGUAACACGAGUUAAAUUUUUUUAAAAAAAUACACAAUAAGUAAGUUUAAGUUGAUUGUAAUUGUGUAAGGGGAAGAAAAUGCAUUCUUAAAAUAACAGAAGGUGGUGGUAUGUGAGCAUAAUUUUAAAUUUCUGUUGAAAACUAUAUUGUCUUCAACAAACUUUGUAUGAAUAAGAUAUACAGAAUUAUCAUUUUACAAUAAUAAAUGACAACAUGUGGGAUCCAUAAUGAUAGCUUUCUAUUAUUUUUACUUAGAAAGCUAACAACAUGGUCUAUGGCAUUUCAUUCUCUAUGAAACGAUUCUGGGUUUUCUUGUAUUCAUUUAUAGUCUUUUUUCUUAAGUGUAUAUUUUUCUCAAUUAGAAUCAUGGAAUCCUGCAGUUACGCUUCUGACUUUUUCUCUUAAUGUUUUUCCAUAAUGUAAAAAUACCUUAUACUCAUUAUAGAAAAAACAAAAAAUUCAGAAACCUGUAAACUUAUCAUGAAGAAAAUUAACACAGAGAUAAUUUAUACCAACAUUUUAG
ensembl:lncRNA